rnacentral:snRNA from 13 species
ACGCUUUUUUGAUAGAGAAAAUAAUGUGAUGACAGAGAUGGUUCCUCCAGAGUGAGAUUUAUGAAUUUUACUUGGCACGUGCUGACAUCUACGAUUUUCGCAAGUGUGGAAGUCUUGACUGUUAAAUUUGUGGCAGCAGGAGAAUGCACUUGCCCUUUCUUCUG